GCCCGGGUGGUGGAAUUGGUAUACACGCAGGACUUAAAAUCCUGUGCGCUUGCGCAUGCGAGUUCAAGUCUCGCCCCGGGCACCA
rnacentral:tRNA from 2 species